rnacentral:rRNA from 1 species
GAUGAAUGUUGGCGGCGUGGAUUAGGCAUGCGAGUCGUGCGAGAACCGUAGCAAUACGGGGACAGCGGCGAAAGGGAGAGGAACACGUGGAUACCUACCCUCAGGUUCAGGAUAGCUAUGGGAAACUAUAGGUAAUACUGAAUGAUAUCUCCGGAUCAAAGGUGUGAUUCCGCCGGAGGAGGGGUCCGCGUCCUAUUAGCUAGUUGGUGUGGUAACGGCUCACCCAGGCAAAGAGGGGUACGGGGUGUGAGAGCAUGAUCCCGCUCAUUGGGACUGAGACACUGCCCAGACACCUACGGGUGGCUGCAGUCGAGAAUCUUCGGCAAUGGGGGAAACCCUGACCGAGCGACGCCGCGUGUGAGAUGAAGGCCUUCGGGUUGUAAAUCACUGUCGUAGGGGAGGAAAUAUUGGUGGGUUCUCCCAUCAGUUUGACCUAUCCUAGGAGGAAGGACGGGCUAAGUUCGUGCCAGCCGCCGCGGUAA